ACGGCGGGGGCCCCGGUGCGGCGCAGCACCGCCCGCACCCGGGCGAGCAGCAGGUCGACGUCGAACGGCUUGGUGAUCCAGUCGUCGCCGCCGUA
rnacentral:tRNA from 1 species